CCUACGGGAGGCAGCAGUGGGGAAUAUUGGGCAAUGGGCGCAAGCCUGACCCAGCAACGCCGCGUGAAGGAAGAAGGCUUUCGGGUUGUAAACUUCUUUUCUCAGGGACGAAGAAAGUGACGGUACCUGAGGAAUAAGCCACGGCUAACUACGUGCCAGCAGCCGCGGUAAUACGUAGGUGGCAAGCGUGAUCCGGAUUUACUGGGUGUAAAGGGCGUGUAGGCGGGACUGCAAGUCAGAUGUGAAAACCACGGGCUCAACCUGUGGCCUGCAUUGGAAACUGUAGUUCUUGAGUACUGGGGAGGCAGACGGAAUUCCUAGGGUAGCGGUGAAAUGCGUAGAUAUUAGGAGGAACACCAGUGGCGAAGGCGGUCUGCUGGACAGCAACUGACGCUGAGGCGCGAAAGCGUGGGGAGCAAACAGGAUUAGAUACCCUUGUAGUC
rnacentral:rRNA from 1 species